rnacentral:misc_RNA from 1 species
GGAUGUGCCCAUUUGCAGCCAAAUUUGAUUUCUCAGUACUUAACUAAAUUCGAACGUGUCGGGUUUAAAGUGAUGGUAGAAAAGUAAAAUUCUGCUGGCAAGCGGAAAUCUUGCACGCGCUGUGGGAAACACAACGAAGGCGGAUACUCGAGCAAACGAGACAAAAACGAAACGUACACAUACAUACAUACAUCUACAUACGUCACUCAACAAAUAUUUAUAUUCUUCCACUGUGACGUAAUGGUUCUUUUUACUAUUAGUUAAUGAAAUCAAAAAUUCUUUAACGUUUUUAAAGCCGGUUUUCGUGGUGAAGUUUUCCAGUGUUCAUUUGCCAGUCGAAGCGAAUAGUCCGUUUUCACACACAAUAUUUCCCAUACUUGUAUUUGUGCACGACAUCCGACGCAGAAAAAUAAUUUUCUAGUGCGUGUAAUUUGUAUAAAAAAAAAUCGCGAAGUGUGCCUUAUGACCAACGUCAUUAAUUGUCAAACUGAUUAAGCAUAGCAACGCUGCAGACCACAACAAACCAAAAAAUUUGUAUUGAAUACACUUUAUUUACAAAAGUUCUAAAGUGCUGAGUAAAACGUAAUAAUUUUAGAAUUUACCGCAAGUUCAAUAAUACAGAUUGCUACUUGGUUGGUAUUUAAGACAGCUAAAUAAACCAAAAUCGAUAUGUCUUCGACGAAGUUCAUUGCCAUUCUGCCUCAACCUACACAGCCGGGCGAUAAAAUUCAAAUUAGUGGCAGAAUAAGCGACCAUGCAGAAAAAUUUUCCAUAAACUUCGCGAAUGAGGUCAACGAGAAUCCACAAUCGAUCACCUAUAGCUUCAAUUGGGACCUGGCUAAUAAAAUGCUUAUUGAGGACUAUAAAGAGGACGACGAAUGGAAGAACAGAAUAGAAACUGAAUUUGAUACAUUUGAUGGUCGGUUCAAAAAUAAAGCUAUUAACGAUAGUAUAAGCAACCGCUUUAUUGACAAUAACACAAUUGCAGACACUACUGACACAUUUCCACAUUCAUAUUCUCUUUUAGAGCCGGAAUUCGCCCUAGAAUUCGCAUUCCAAGAUGACGGCAUCUAUGUGUACUUGGUAUCCGAAGAUGGCCGAAAUCUUGUCACACAUUAUCAACCCGAGAUCGAUUUUCAAUUCAUCGAAUCGGUACAAGUGUGUGACGAUGUGGAAAAAGUCACACAAUUAACAUUCUCUUACAAUUAGGCGCCAAUUACAAAUUUUCGCAAUUGCAAAAUCUGCCAAAAAGUAAUACAUUUGUUCUUGCUGUUGCAGUUGUUGCACGAACAAUGGCAACUGCAAUGGAACAACGCGCUGAACCGCUCGUGGUUGGAAGAAAUGCUAUAUUAAUGAAACGAAAAGUAUUAAACAUUGGCACUUAUUUACCUUAAUCUCAGGCGCAGCAAACCGUUCUGUGGCACGAAUCCCUGGCAUUACAAGAUCUCACGUGGCAAGUCAAUUACACCACCCCGCCCCCGCAACCAUGCCUUGCAUUAAGCAAUUUGUUUGAGUUUUUAAGCAACCAAAAUAUGCACAAAAUGCAUGCUUACGUACACAUACUUACAUAUGUAUGUGUAUGUGUACCCAUGCACCGGGCCAUUUGAUUAGCACUGCUCAUACCCGUUUCCGUACAAGUGGGAUUGAUAUACGUAACUUUUGCAUGUACGCAUUAAGCGCCGCUGCCAUCUAAGUUCUUAAGUAUUGAUUAAGCUAACGCUAAGCAUGAGCCGCAAGUAUUCUAUUUAAAAUAUUCUAUAACUGUACUAACAAUUUUGCAAUUGAAUGUUGUCUAAAUACCAAAGAUCAAGUGUAAGCAAAUAAACACAAAAUAUUACAUAUAACUACAUACAUUUAUAAAAUAUAUAUAUAUCUAUAUAUGUAUUAAAUAUAUAUGUAAAAAACUAAAAAAAAGCGUUAAAGUUGCUGCAGUUUUAUAAAAAUACCGUUGUUGCCUUGUAAAUGCUCGAAUUUUUUGUAAGCAAAAAUGAAAGAGUUGAAAUUUCAAGCAAUAGCACACAAAGCUUUGCUAUAAAAGUUUGAGCUUUAAAAAUCUGCAACUUGACUUUUUUUACUUAUAUAAAAAGUAAUAAAAAUUAAAAAAUAUUAAGAAAAAAAUGUCAAGAAAAUAUUUUAUAGAUUAUAUAUUAUAUAAAAAGUGUUAUUUACUACAUUGUCCAAUGUUUGGGUGGUUAAGAAAAUGCAAUAUUUUUACGCUUGUUACUCUGAUAAUAGUAGGUGCUUAGACACCAUGAAGCAGGUCUCUUCAAUUAUGAGCUCUUAAUUGUAACGAAGAGGUCCAACGCCUGACAGUUCUUCUUAUCAAUUAGAGAAAUUUAUGUACAUAUGUAUAUUUCGCUUACAAGUACUUGAAAAUAUGAAAAUAUUCCUUUUGAUAUGUUUUGUAGCAAAUUGAGUGCACUUCAAAACAGAUCCAUAACGAUUUUUUGGUAAAUCUUGAAAUUUAUAAUAUAUAAACAAUUCAAAUUUGAUUGUUUUAAGGCAACGUUCUUAUGAAUUUUAUAACUCAAUAAAAAAAAUUUUAAAUUGCAAAACUCAUACUUUUGUUGCGAUCGUAAGAGAAAAUCGAAAGAAAAAUAUUCAAAUUUUUUUUAACCCACCCUAAUAUAUACAUAUACAUAUGACGUAUACAAAAAAAACAAAAUUUUCUGAAAAGUGAAUUUUCCGUACUUUUGCGUAUGUAUAGUAUAUGUCGUUAGAUAUUAUUUUUUAUUCAUCUCAAGUUGCAAAAAAACACAUAACAAUUAAAAUGUGCUCAGAAAGCUUAAGAUAUUCUACGAAAACAAUGGUUUGUAAUUUAUAUCUACAUAUAUUAUAAAUAAUGUUUCAAAGAAAUACAUUAAAAAUACUGUAUCAGAACUAUUGCCAUAUAUUUUUUUAAAUUCUAUAAUAGUUUUUGGAAAUAAUUUUCAAAUACUUUGAGAUUAUUGUACAAUUAUAAUCGUAUAUGUAGUUCUAAUACGCCAUUUUCACUAUGCACUCAAAAGAAGCCAAUAUUCAAAAACAUUCAAAUGUAAUAUUUAUUUAUGAAAUAAGCAUUUUAUAACUUAAAUUCUUUAUAUAAUUAUCCAAACAACAACAUUGAGAAUUAAAACAUGCUCAAAAAUUUUCAAAUCACUCAUUGAUUCUUAAUAAAAUCAAAUGUAAACUGCUCAUAAAAAUCGAGUGCAUUUAAAUUAACGGUUUUUAUAAUUAUGGAACACAAUUUAUUUGUAUAGAAUUAUUUAACGUAUUUAUACUCAAUGUAUUCAAAAUGAUUUUGUGUAUAUAAGCAAAUGAAUUGCCUUUUAGUGCAUGCUAUUUAAUUUUAUAUAAAUGUAUGUAAUAUUUCAAAAGAAAAAAUAAAAUGUUUUGUUAACAAAAUAAUUAAUAAUGGAAAAGUUCAAAAUAAAACUUGCCUUACAAAUGUUACUACGCAAA